rnacentral:rRNA from 1 species
AUCGAUAAUCCACGAUAANUUUAACUUUACUUAAAAAUUUAUAUACCGCCAUCUAAAGAAUUAAUUAAAAAAUAUUUUCCUAAAAAUAACUAAAAAGUUAGGUCAAGGUGUAAUCAAUAUUAAAGAAUAAAUGAAUUACAUUAAACAUUACUUAAAGAUUUUAAAUAAAUAUAUUUACAUAAAUAAGAAUUUAAAAGUAAUAAUCCAAUAAUAAUAAUACAUGAAUUGGAUAAUAAAUGUGCACACAUCGCCC